GCUCUGUGCAGCUGUUUCUCUCUCUAUCGGUGCUGUUUCAUGCUCUGUUUUGCUUGUGAAAAUAGAGCCUGGUAAUUGUACUUAAAGAUCUGGCUGUUUUCUCACUACAGACAAAACUUUGCUCCCCAAAACUUUUCUUAAGCUUAUCAGAAUAUUAAGCAUGUGCUUAAGAAAGACUGGUUGUCACCAUGGUUUUAGGACUAGUCAUUAGAAACACCGAGGUCUCUGAAGUCAGCUGUUGUCCCCAGUGAUGGGGACAGUCAACAUCUGUGACACCUCCUCCCAAGAGGCUGAGCAGCAGUUUGCAAGAGGAGGCCCAGUGCUGACUGCAUUUAUUGUGUACAAAAUGGUGCUCUCGAGGGUGCUGCACUGACACUGCCUUUCCAGCUGCAGUGGAACAGAACAGCUUCUAGUGGGAGCUUUUAGCCAAAACAAACCCAUUGUUAUGGGCUAGGGAAACCACAAUGCAGCUUGUGUCCUCUGGCUUAAUUUUUGGGGAAGCUGCUCUUUCAGGUGUCUUUGUGCAAAAUGUAAUAACAGCAACAUUUAGAAAACUUCUGCUUAACUGCCUUCUUAUCCUCUGGACAACUCUAUGGUCCAACAGAAGAGCUCCCCUCCAGGCUACUUGCAGUUCACUGCCUGAAUACAUGAUAAAACCAGAAUUUACUGGACCUGCAAGCACAAAGAAGGGUAGAGGGGAUGAACUAAUUGUCUCGACGUUUAGAGCACUUGCUUGAGAACAGUGUAGAAAGUCUUGCUCCUGGGUACCUGAUCUGUUCCAAAGUGAGGCUUUCCUAGUGGUCCCUGCCUGCUCUGUAGACAACAUUUGAACACUCAUUGACUUGGGCAGAGAGUGACUCAUCCUGUGAGAUGCUUCCUCAAAUGUGGAAUGUCUCCUCAAGUAUUUUCUACUGCUCAGUUUGUGCAGCACUCCCCUCCUGUCACUGUGGAGGUUUCAUGAUUAGGUCCCAGAUCCUGGGCAUGCCUUUACCAGAGAGCUUAAGCACCUGUCUCAAGGUUGUGAAUUCCAGUUAAAUGGAGACAUCCAAGGUUUAGCUGUCAACUGUUGCUGCACUGCUUAAGUUGCUCAUCUACAUGUAACUCCAGCAGAGCAUCAGGGAGUUCAGGAUCCUAACUACAAUCAUUCAGGGUUCUCCCAUGGUUCUUCCAGCUACCUAACAGGGCUCAAAUUCUUCCUAGGUCCCACCAGGAUAUGUGCUCUAAAAAGAUAAGAACAUUCCCUUGAAAUUAUCAUUCCUUUGGUUAUAACUGUAACCUUUUAACCGAAGGCAGGCAAGAAGACUUUUUUCUCAAUUUAUAAAGCCCAGUUUAUUCUGGCAAUGACCAGAGAUCUUGUAUCUCAUUUUGUUUAUUCGCAUUUUAAAAUUUCUUAGCAAGGUCUUCACAGUGGGAUUGCAAAUCUGUGUACAAAUCCUAAAGCUACAGUAGGGAGGAGCCCAUACUGGUACAGAUGUAGAGUUUUCUUGUAGCUUCCUUGAUGUAAAUGUGUAAGAUCUUAGCUUUGGAGGGGAGGGGAGGGGAGUUUACAGGUAUUCUGUGACUAGAUCACAGUACUUCCAAACUUCCAAACCUUUUCAGUAAUGUAAUAACCAACUUCAUAUCAUGUUACAGAUUAUAGCACAUGAUACCGUGGUUAAUACCAGAGUCAACAACUACUUGUAAUUACAAAGAUAUGAGAGGGGAGAAUCUGAAGUGUGGGAUGUCACUCUGUGUGCCCUUGUUUUUAAAAAAAGUACCGUCUAAUGGUGCUGCUGGGGAGGAGAAGUUUGGAGGUAACUGGGCUAGUGACCUGACCUCCUGCCAGAGGCUCACCAGAUCUGUGUUACAUCCCAGCCUUGGCUCUGGCUUAAGGUGUGACUGUGUGCCUGUUUCAUCUAUGCCAUACCUGGCUAUUUUUGUAUGAGAAAAGCUUUGCUAGUGCUCUCUCCAAGUAGGCACAUGAUUUGUGUAGAUAGAAAUCAUAAUAAAUGCAAGUUAUUUGUGCAUGGUGAAGUAGCUAAAAUAAAAUCUCUAUUAACCAGAGCUCUCUAGUGGCCAACAGUACUUCUGGGGAUUCCUACUCGUAAAUAACUGGAAAACCAAACCAAACAAAAAUAACCUAAAUUUUGUGAUGACAGAUUACUCUUACUUAGAUACCCCAGAGUGCUUCUUGCACUGGAUAUGUGUAAGCUGUGGAUUUACUGUGAGACUAAUUAGCUGUGCCUUUGGCCAGCCAAGAGCAUGUGUGUGUGUGCACAGCCAUGCACGGGGAUUUGAGAGCGUGCCCUGAAAUGUGGGAACAUGAAGGGAACUUUCUUUCAUUCACUCCUUCACUCCCAGGCAGGAAGUCAGGCUUUUAGAUUGUUGUGUAUUUCUGCAAUAACUCAGUAGUAGUAAUGGGCUAAAUCAAUCUGAUACCUCUGUGUUUCUUACAGCACCCAAUAAAUAUUUCCACCUAACUCUCUUCUGAUUUCAUUUUUUUUUUCUGAAAGCUGCAGAACAUGAGAAGAAAGAACUCAUAUUUUCAGUGACCUCUAAGAAUCUCUAAUAUUUUGGGAAGGUUCUGCUUGAAACAAUGAUUGAUAUUAGAGAUAAUGCAUGUUUGAUUUGCCCUAGGAGCAGGAAAUCCUUUUUAAAGCCCAGUUCCUUGAGGAUAUCUGGCUUAAAGUGCAUGAAUCGCUGCUUCUGAGAAAAUGCACUGUGUGCAGAAUCCUUUGUCAUGGGAGAAACACAGGAAGCACAAUACUGCAACAUCUGCAACUGCUCUGCCCUGCUGGGAUUGAACUCUCAUUUUCUACAUAAUAACGGAGAUGAAUAUCCCGUAAAGAUGCAAAUGUAGGACAGGUCUUCACAGAAAACAGUUUUCAAGUACAAUGAUGGGAUACAGAUCAGAACUUGGACCAUAAACAAGAUCUCACAGCCUCUACAACAAAACUCUGCAUCUGAAAGUGAAGAGGGAAUUAAUUCUGUAUGGAUGAUGAAAGAAGAGAACAGGAGCAGAGGAGAUGGUUAUAGAAAAAAUAAGAGACAGCAACAACAUCUCUGUAUACCAAAUACAAAUUCUCAAGAGAAGGAUGGAAAUAACAGAGAGAAGCUGUGGCCUCCCUUCCCUGAUUACCAGAACUGAGGAGAAUCAUACAGAAACAGCUGUGUAAUCUUCU